rnacentral:lncRNA from 1 species
GAACCAGCCUUCAUUUCAAGAUUUGCUAGACAUGUCACAAGAAGAGUUCGGAUAUAGUCAUCCUACUGGCGGUCUCACGAUUCCCUGCAAUGAAGACACCUUUCUCGAAGUUACCUCUCGCUUGUAAUAAUUGUGAGAUGAUUAACACAAAUCAGGCAAUACAAUUUUGUAAAGCAAACAUCACUAAUACAUGUAAACAUUUUUUUCUCCAUCCUUUUGGCCUUGGAGAGCUGAUAUAAGUCUCCCCAAGUGGAGAACUAGAGAUGGUGAUUAGUGUAACACUCCUAUCCAUCAGUAAUGAUAGUUCAAAACACAUCAUUCAAUUGUCAUUUUAUUUCCUUUCUGAAUUUUUUACUUGUUCGCGUUAAUUCAUCUUUAAUAUAAACUGUAAAUGAUCUACUUUGUUCUAAAAUUACUUUCAAACGUGAGUACAUGCUAAGUUAUUUGGAGUUGGACCCUUCAUUUUCGUUCAAUUUCAUGUGUCCAACACAUAUUCAAACAUGAGUACAAAGUCUAGUUAAGAUAGAUCACAAGUUUUCUUUUGCAUGGUAGUAGCUUAUUAAACGAUCAAUUUCGUGUUAUAAUUUUCAAAGUAAUUUUCUUAAUGUAGAUUUGCCCAAGAAUUAAGAUAUAUAAAGAUUUGAGGCAGGGGACUAAGUGAUUAAUAAAACAAACCUAAGGACAAAAGAUUUUAAAGGAAAAAAGAGAAAAGUAAAAGAGAGAUAAGUUCAUGAUACAUGCUGAUUAGUUUUAUCAGAAAGUAAACUUGCCUAAUAUGGACGUCUUUCCCACAUCAUUCUUUUUACUUGCUUGGUUCUAUGAAAUAUGGUUAAUCGACUUUGCUCAAAUUCAAGAAAAUUUUCUAGUAGUCUAAACUCCAAUCAUGUAUAUGGAGACAAGUAUACAAAUGACUGAAUGUAACAUCAAAUGGCAGAUUUUUUAUCCAAAAGGUAAUAUCAAAUAUGUUCACACUAAGCAUAUUACUAUCCAAAAGGUGACAGCAGCUGCAUAAAUAACCAAAGGCCAUCUUGUUGUUUAUGUAGGUGAAUCCCAAAAGAGGCUGGUUUAUAAUUCCUGUUUCAUUCUUAAAGCACCCUUCAUUUCAAGAACUGAUAAAGUAGACUGAAGACGAGUUUGGCUUUGAAUCAUCCAAGGGGUAAUCUCACGGUCCCAUGUGCAGAAGAAGCCUUCAUUGAACUUUCUUGUAGUUUGAAUAGCUUUCUCACUUUGACCUGACAUCUUAUCUCCCCAAUAUAAUAAUGAAUAGUAAAAAAUGUACAGAGAACAGAACAAACAUACCACCAGAAAUGUGGACUAAAAACAGACUUAUUUGUAAUGGUAUCCAUAUAUAUAUAGCAGCACAUACCAGAAAUUUAGUGAGCUGUCAAGCUGAAUAUUGUCUUCACCCCUGUGGAACUAUAUGAUUGCAGCACGGCAUAGACAACAAACCUGGAUAAAAUGCAACAACUUGGGUUCAGAUGAGGAGUUGUUGUGGCCUGUAGGACGCACUUUAGGCGCUCUUCACAAUGGAUUGUCUUGCAAGUUUUAUGUGAAGUCUGUACGAAAUAGGAGGUCAAGGUCACCCAUGUUACUUGUUCCCUAUCAUUGCAUGACAGAUUGUAUGUCUCUAAAGGUUGGCUCUAAUGUCAAUGGUGAAGUAAUAAAAAUCUUCUACUAGGACGAAGCUUUUAUGAAUCCAAAUCUUCCAUAUCUGAGUAGGUCCUUAGUCGGUUCAUUUUCCCGGCAAGGUAGGGAAACUAUUCUUUCAAGUCUUAGCCAUGGAAUUCUUGAUAAUGCUUUGGAAGACAACACCAUGUGAUUCCCCGUAUACCCAUGUCUUUCUCUUUACUGAUCAGACCCCAGCAAUUGCACCUUCACCACUCAUUCCACAUCCCCCACUUAAUAAUAGAUGAACAUCAUUUCCUCUCUGCCCUACACAUCUAUAUAUACAAGUAAGAGUAAGUUCAUUGGCAACACCUCCCUUCAACAUUCUCAAGCUUGCUUUCCAAGUUAUCUGAUAUCUUCCUUUUCUUCCCUUUUGAAGCAUACAUCCAUCAAAAACAACAAUGGCUAUCCGCCUGCCUCGUAUGGUUAGUUCUAAGAAGGUUCCCAAGGGAUACUUUGCAGUUUAUGUUGGAGAAAGCCAGAAGAGGUUAGUGAUACCGGUUUCAUUCUUGAACCAUCCUUCAUUUCAAGAUUUGCUAGGGAAGUCAGAAGAAGAGUUUGGAUAUAGUCAUCCUACCGGUGGUCUCACAAUUCCCUGCAACGAAGACACCUUUCUCGAAGUUACCUCUCGCAUGUAUUGAUCGUGAGAUGAUUAACACAAACCAGUCAAUACAAUUUUGUAAAGCAAAAAUCACUAAUACAUGUAAACAUUUUUUUCUCCAUCCUUUUUGUCUUGGGGAGCCGAUAUAUAAGUCACCCCAGGUGGAAAACUAAAGAUGGUGAUUACUGUAACACUCCUAUCUAUUCAGUAAUGACAGUUCCAAACACAUCAUUCAGUUG